CGGCACUGCCCACUCAAUAGCAGUUCGUAACAACGUACGUUUUCGCCCAAAAACGAAAACGAGAAAAAAGUGCGCAAUGUUUUGCAUAAUUUGCGGCAGAUACCAAUAUAUUCGCUAAUAUCGCUCAGCUUAUUUACAUCAUAGACACACAGCUGAAGUGUGUGCGCAUCACACCAGCUUACCCAUCAAAUUUUCCCCUUAUGUGUCAUCUUCAAUUAGGGACUCCUCCGUGUCGUCAUUUAGACUUUCUACGGCUUUCAUCAUGUUUCUCCCAUUAUCAGAGGUAACACUACUUUCUCACUUUCUGCGAUGGUCAUCGAGUUAUUUUCAUUGACGCUACCAAAUAUCAGUGAGUUGGUGCGAUUCGAUAGUGGAGAAGUUUUAAAGAUCCUGCACAUCAAAAAUCUGUGUAUACUGCGAAAAACAGCUGUAAAUUUUAUGGCAAGCUAUUAUUUUUGGCCCGCAGAUUCAAAUGCAUUACGAUGUUUUUGCACUUGCUUGUAUUGUUAUGGCUGAUUGGCGAAAUCCAAAUUUCGAUUAAAGUCUGAGUAUUUGUUUUAAAUGCAAAUUAUUUGAAAAUGCUUGCGCAAAAUAUACCUAAGGAAAGAAGCACAACUGCCUUCGUGGAAUAACUGCAAGCUGUGUAUUAGGGAUGUGAAAAAUAUAUCAAAAUAUCAAUAUAUCGAUAUUUUUUGAUUAAAAAUAAAUAUUUAUAUCUGAUAUUUUAUUCUACAGAAAUAUGCAGUGACUGCACUAAAUAAGUAAAAUGAAACAUGAAAUUUA